rnacentral:rRNA from 1 species
GACAUUCUCUGUCCAGCGGACGGGGAAGGGAGAAAUCUUAGUUUUCGGGCUCUGGGGAUAGUACGCUUGCAAGAGUGAAACUUAAAGCGAAAUUGACGGAAGGACACUACCAGGAGUGGAUUGUACUGCUUAAUUUGACUCAACGCGGGAAAACUUACCAGGGUCAAGUUCUCCGUAGAUCGAGUACGUGAGGGGAACGAGAGUGGUGCAUGGCCGUUGGAAAUUGAUGGGAUGACUUUUAGCUUAAAUGCUGAAACCAGUGAGAUCUUCUAGACAGGUGCCAUCCGGCACAGGAGGGCGAAGGCGAUAACAGGUCCGUGAUGCCCUUAGAUAUCCUGGGCUGCAAGUGCAAUACAAUAUCCAUGUCGAUCAAGAAAGGUGAUUAUGGAUGAGCAGGAUUAGCUC